CCUAGUACUUACUACUUUGUAACUCAACAUCUCUUCAAAUUUCAUAGCAGUCCCAGGCAGCAUCAGACAUGCAUAGGUAGCAAUCACAUUUCAUAGUGGAAGCCUGUCCCUGAACCACACACACCUUGAACCCCUAUCAACAGCUUUACCAAGCACAUCAUCUCCCCUACCUAUUGGUAACAGCUUUUACCAGGCAGAACCAACAGUGGUAACGGCUUUACCAGGCAGACUGAAACUGAACCAACAGUGGUUGUAUGCUGCACAGACAUUUGCCCCUGCACUUGAUGCAUACGUUGGUUUGUUCGUUCCCAGGCCCAGGCCCGGGCCCCGGCGUGGAAUUUUGACCGAGAGACAACACCGAAUGGCCGC
rnacentral:lncRNA from 1 species